ensembl:misc_RNA Metazoa_SRP Metazoan signal recognition particle RNA
GCUGGGUGUGGUGGUGGGCACCUGUAAUCCCAGCUACUUGGGAGGCUGAGGCAGGAGAAUUGCUUGAACCCAGGAGGUGGAGGUUGCAGUGAGCCGAGAUCAUGCCACUGCACUCCAGCCUGGGUGACAGAGUGAGACUCUGUCUCAA